UCUUAAUUGGAUUUGUUAUGCUGUAUGGCUAUUGCUUUUUCAUCACUUUGUAGAUCAUUUAAUAGUAGGUUUUAUACCUAUUUGUAAUAGAAACCUUCCUUUACUGGGGGUUUCUUCUGGAGAGUACCAACUCAGUCAGCUGAGAAAAGCUUCCGACUUCAGAAUUUGUUAUAUAAUAAGUUUGAUCGACUCCCGUAUCCGAAUCACCUUCGUCAGUCGAAUCCGAAGUAUUGGUACUAAUUGACAGAAUCAUAUUUCUACAUUUCCUGGGAACUCCUCUACUACAUAUUCAUGUAACAGUGGAACAUUUUUUAUAAGAGCACUACUACAAGUUGUCGUCAUCUCUUUAGGACAUUACCAAGAACUCCAAGCACCAUCAUACAUCGAGGGAAAUUAAGGCCAGAUUUUCGAUAUUUCCUGAUUCAUUAUUUUUUAUAUGAUUACCGAUUAUUAGAUGAUAUUAUUAUUUUCUCCUCCGCAACUGAUAAUGAAAAAUUAUUGGCACUGAUAUAUUCAUCACGUGCAAUUCAUUUAAAAUAAUUACUUUGAAGAAUCAA